rnacentral:tRNA from 1 species
CCUUCGAUAGCUCAGCUGGUAGAGCGGAGGACUGUAGGACGUACAAAAGCAGGAAUCCUUAGGUCGCUGGUUCGAUUCCGGCUCGAAGGA